rnacentral:rRNA from 1 species
AUGGAGGGAGCUCCCGUGACAGCAGCCACGGGGGCCUUGGGGCCCGUCGUGGCCAAGCUGGGUGCUUUGCUGGGCAGCGAGUACAAGCUUCGGUGCCGGACUCGGAAGGAUGUCAAGUUCAUCAAAUCCAAGCUCAAGUCCAUGCACUCCAUCCUUUGGGCAAUAUGGGGGAAGGAGACUCUUGAUGUGCAAUCCAAGGAGUUGAAGAAGGAAGCGCUGGAUCUCGCCGAUGAUAUGCACGACGCCAUCGACGACUUCAUCCUCACCAUGGAGCCCAGCCGCAGAAACAAGCACCUGAAGAUACAGAUCAAGAUCCAAGCAAGCCCCUUCCAAGAUUUCAGGACAAGAGUAAAUGAAGUGUCAGGCCGGUGCCACAGCAAUUGGAAGUGGGUGAAGAACAAGUCUGCUGAACCCAACUUCAGCUUGUUUUCAAGAAAAAAUGUCAAAUCCAGCCCCCCAAGCAAACUGCCUCCUCCUCGAGCUCCAUUUGUUCACAAGGAUGCGUCAGAACUCGUUGGUAUGGGAAAAUGGAGGGAUCAGCUCAUCAGAUACCUGCUAGGAGAAGCAGAGAGCACAAUGGGGCAGCCACAGCUCAAAAUGGCAUCCAUUGUUGGAAUGGCCGGUGUGGGGAAAACAACCCUAGCCAGCCUUGUCUACGAGGAGAUUGGAAAUAAGUUCCAGUGCCGGGCUUUUUUGUCCGUCACUCCAAGCCCCAACAUGAAGGAGGUUCUCAUAAGCAUUCUCAAGCAAGUAGGAGUUGAACCGCCUGCUGGCACCGAAGCGCGGACGGAGGAACAUAUCAUCCGCAACAUAUCGAAAUACCUGGAGGACAAAAGGUGCGCAAAUUUAUGA